GACGAACGCUGGCGGCGUGCCUAAUACAUGCAAGUAGAACGCUGAAGGAGGAGCUUGCUUCUCUGGAUGAGUUGCGAACGGGUGAGUAACGCGUAGGUAACCUGCCUGGUAGCGGGGGAUAACUAUUGGAAACGAUAGCUAAUACCGCAUAAGAGUAGAUGUCGCAUGACAUUUGCUUAAAAGGUGCAAUUGCAUCACUACCAGAUGGACCUGCGUUGUAUUAGCUAGUUGGUGAGGUAACGGCUCACCAAGGCAACGAUACAUAGCCGACCUGAGAGGGGGAUCGGCCACACUGGGACUGGGACACGCCCCAGACUCCUACGGGAGGCAGCAGUAUGGAAUCUUCGGCAAUGGACGGAAGUCUGACCGAGCAACGCCGCGUGAGUGAAGAAGGUUUUCGGAUCGUAAAGCUCUGUUGUAAGAGAAGAACGGGUGUGAGAGUGGAAAGUUCACACUGUGACGGUAUCUUACCAGAAAGGGACGGCUAACUACGUG
rnacentral:rRNA from 1 species